AGGCGUGGAGAAGUAAGUCUAAUGUAAUAAGGAGCCCUAUGCACAAAAUGAGAAAAAGGUCUUUCUGAGACGUAUGCUCUGUACUGGAAUCCGCACAUUAACAUUUCCAUCCGUCCAUAAACUCAGAAAUUGCUUUUGGGGGUGGGGGAGAAAUUUGUCAACAACAAAAGCAAGACGUGUGUGCUUUAACAGUGAUCUCAGCUAGAAGUGACCCCGUGACUCCUGGGCCAGCCGUCGUUUAAGUUUCAGUGAUGCGGCACUGUCUCCGCUGUGGUUGCCGGCACAGAGAGAACACUGAGCAGAGGAGUCUGGCAAAGCCUCUGAAGGUACAUACGGGGUCAUGCGAGGGUUCCGCAGGAGUUAGUUUCUGAUUCAUCCAGGAAGGAAAGGGUACGCACAGGGCUCUGUGGCGUCUCCUGGACCCGCCAGUGGGGAGACGGCCACCGUGUGAGUCCCGUGGGCCUGUGCUGAGCGUUGAAGAAAGGACCUCGCAUUGGAGCUUCCCACCUUAGCAUCCUUCGAGUUUGUCAUUGGAUACUGACCCCUGAGUUCAGAUGUGCAUCAAAUCUCUGUAAGAUAAAUACGGCUUUCUGUGAAUAAGACUUAAAGAAAAGUGCAUAUGGAUUCAUGCAAAGGAGAGGAGUAAAUUAUAAGACAAACACACCCAGAGCCAUCACCAAGGAGCCAGCCGGAUACACCGGCUUCUCAGCAACUACUCCUGCUUCGAAGAAAAUAAUCCCUUCUGUAACUGACAAAGAAGACCUCAACCAGAGUGUGUGCCUGUGAAACUGCAUGAGUUCUAAGUUUAGCAAAGUGGAAUCACGCCUUUGCUGGAGGCCGGCCUCUGGCGAGAACCCCAGCGGGCCGUCUCAGGGGCCAGGCGGCAGCACCCUGCCAGGGCUGCGGGGCCCCCUGCGGCAGCUCCAACCCCAGCUGCGCCGGGCCCCCCGUCACGAUCCAGAGUCCUCAGGCAGCUCUUGCUCAGGCUCCGUCAGGGCAGGAGGCACACGUGGUGGAAGCAAGCCAACCUGAAAAGGAAAACUGCACCAACCUCGACGCCUGUUUGCAGUCAACCUAAGAAGGGAUUCUGUGAAUUCUGACACCAGUACAUUCACUGGGGGGCCAGGGCCAGGGCCACCCUCCCCUGAUCAGCACACCCGGGAUUUUCAUCCCUUUGGCUUCCGCUCCAGGGCCAGGGCCAUCUUCUCAAACUGUUUAAAAGUGAAGCGAGCUGGUUCCAAACAGAGUUACGCAGUGUUCUCGUCGCACACCCGUGUGUGCCUCGUCGGGAACCUCACCCGGCCUCGGGAGCUCUUGCCCGUGAGCAGCCAUGGGAUCCUGCGUCACUCCAAACCGCGCCUGUUCUGACGGAGGAAUCCAUUUAACCUCAGGAGCUUCUAUCGCUCGCUGUGUUGAGAAAUGUUUGUGAUAAAGACGUGGGAAGAUCGCAUGGAUUACUACAAACAAAUGCAGCAAAGUGGGUUUAAAAACUUGCAUUUCAGCAGGCGCUGUGCGAUGCCAGGAAAGACCCUGAGGUUGGGUCAGUCACAGCUGGUGUUCCACCGGCUCCAAGGCUCCUGAGCUUAACUAUUACCAAAACAAUGAAUGACUCUGAGACUGCUGUGCUGUGCUUAGUGUCUGAGUCUGGGACGCUGUGGGCCGCAGCCCACCAGGCUCCUCUGUCCAUGGGAUUCUCCAGGCGAGAACACUGGGGUGGGUUGCCAUUUCCUCCUCCAGGGAAUCUUCUUGACCCAGGGAUCGAACCCAAGUCUCUUACGUUUCCUGCAUCGGUAGGAAAGUUCUUUACCACUGGGGCCACCUGGGAAGCCCAAUGUUGAGACAGGCUUAUACAUAAUGAUAAAUUCACUGCUGACCUUCACCCAAGUUGAACUGGGUGUCCUGCCCUUUAUCUGUCAAACCUCUGUGCAUCCCCCCUGGCCCUGGGAGGUCUGCUGGCUUAUGGAUCAGAGCUCAGCACAUUCUCAAGGCUGAAGGUGGAACCAUAGCAUCUAUCAUCUGAUUCCUAGAUAAAGUUGAAGUUUCUCAAGCACAUCCACAAAUGUAGCGGAGGGCUGGCCAGCAGUCUAAGCCGGGAGGCAUGGCUGCGCUGCUCGGGGCGGGUGGGCUGAGUCCAGCCUGCCCUGCAGUUGCCCAGGACCACAUCAAGGCUCAGUCUCGUCCCUCAUCACAUCGCCAGUUUGACUUGUACUGGGGUUGCAAUUUGUAUUCAUUUUUCCAUUUGUAUAAGAAUGCAAGGCUAAGGAUUUUACAUCUAUCUACUAGAAUAUCUUACGUGACAUUAUGUGAAAAAAAAUCAUAGACCACAGUGCUGUGGGUCUGUGAGAUUGGUUUUCUCCUCUCAGGGACUACGGCACUUUAAUCAUCAGACUUACGGUUGAGGGACAGGCCUGGCCGGCUUUGUUUGCUGGUCUGUUCGUCUAGUUGCUACACACUUUCUCUUGGGAACCACUAAGCUCGGGAGGCUCCUUCAGGCAGCGGAGGCGGGUGCUUGGCAAGCCCGCUGUUCCUUGUGACUCUGAUGAUGCUGAGGGUCCCGUGGAGACGGGGAAGGAAGGACAAUUCGCCUCUCUGCCCUGAGCUGCUGCAGCAGAAGCAGAGCUCACUGAGAGACCUGCUUAGGUGGAUGAAUCCAAGCCCACAGAUGGGCCCCACGUGGAUGCUGCAAAGGCCAGGUCGCCUGUGACAGUCUCUGUACCCGCACCCGGAGGGCAGCCUGGGCCAAACUACCACCUGCAUUCCUACAACCCCAAAGUGCGGGGCCACGUGCAACGUCAACACCUAUUUUCUGUGGCCCAAGUUUAAACCAAGACAAGUGGAACUCCAAAAUAUUGACGUUUAAAAAAAGGAAUUAUAUAACUUUUUUCCCCCCCGUUUACAAAUCUAGCUGGGAGAUUUUAGUUCUCCUCUUGAAAUCUUUUUUAAAAAAAGCAAGUUCAGAUCAGUUCAUCCAUUUCGUCCAGAGAGGAUUGUAGAAAAAAACCAGAGGGCAAGGAACCACAGGAACAGGUUAACGUACGUCACAGAUGUUAGCGACCCCACAAGGCAGGGCCCUGGCCUUGGGGCUGAAACCUCACCCUCGUCACGCAUCUCGAGCUUGACUCUCACUGUAUCUCUUUCCACUUGAGUUUGAAUUACGUCAAUUCCAGUUCUUUUUUAAGCUUUAAUUUGAGUGCUGUUGUGGCUGUUUUUUCACCAGAGCCAUUGAGGUUCUGGGCUGAAUACACUUAACAUGGCUGUAAAAAAGUUUUAACCCUCUGGAUCACUGACUUUUUUAAAACAAAAGGUACACAAAUACAGUCUGUGUUCAGCUUUCACAGGUGAGAAAAGGUUCUCAAAAUAAUUUUUAAAGAUUAAAAAAAUUAGUAAAAUUUUAGAGACUUUUUUUAGAACCAAAGCCACUUUUUAUUUACUCAAGAAGAGCAAAGGUUGAUGAUGCAGGUCCUUCGGUGGCCCACGCCCCCACGGUUCCCACGCCCCGCCAGCAGCCCCAGACACAGCAGACCCCAGGAGCCGGUCCUCGGCCUGAUCUCUGGCAGCAGAGAAGAGCUGCAGAGGAAGCGACCUCCAGGAACAGAAGGCAGACGGGCUUGCAGAGCCAUGACCAUGACGCCUCAGUCUCCUACCUGGGCUUCUGUGCUGCCCAUCUCCUCACCAGCACAGGUUGAGCACUCAGGAGGGCAGCAAAUUCAGCUUCAACUCCCAGCCUUGGUUCCUCUCCAUCUCAAGUUCAUGGGAAUGCCAAUCUUAGUUUUGAAUUAGUUAUCAUUCCAAUAACAGCUCAUUUUCUUUCUAAAAACAUUGUUAAUGUUGUGGAAAUGCACAUAAAAGGCACAAAUCAGAAACAUAGUCUUUACUUGUUUUCUUCAUUCACCCAGGUCAUUUCCCAGGUCCUCUCUUCAUCUUGAUCACCAUCUUUCUUCCUAUGAUACUAAUCAGUUCUUUGCCUUCCUGCAAAGAUUCAAAACAACAUACUCUUGAUAAAAAUUCCUCCAGUAUUCCACAUGUUACCUUUGAUUAUACCCCGUUUGGUUAAUUUAAAAUGGAUUAUGAAAGUGGCUCAGGAUCAAUCUGGACAAAACUGUAAGAUGGAAAAAGAUGGUUAGCAAGGCAAGUUAAAAUGUUCACGAGAACUGAUAAGGUUGAAUUGAUUCAGUAACUGAAAUGGGAGGAUCACUGUUAAUGUUAUUGAUCAAAUCCAUCAAACUUCACACCCUUUUUGCAAAGACUCAGGAUAUUUUAAAUGCAGUAAGCAGACACAUGCACAUCCACACGAGGGUGGGGGGAGGGGAGAGGAUAACACAACUACUCUUGCUGAGAACCAAACGACUGCCUCCUGGACUCCUGGAAGCACGCUCUGAAGCUGCUCUGAAGACACGGGAGCUGGUAUUUUUUUAGCUUCUGGUUCUCUGAUCACCACCCUAACCACCUGCCCGGGCCCCAGG